rnacentral:rRNA from 1 species
GACGAACGCUGGCGGCGUGCUUAACACAUGCAAGUCGAACGGAAAGGCCCUGCUUGCAGGGUACUCGAGUGGCGAACGGGUGAGUAACACGUGGGUGAUCUGCCCUGCACUUCGGGAUAAGCUUGGGAAACUGGGUCUAAUACCGGAUAGGAACCAUCUUUAGUGUGGUGGUUGGAAAGUUUUUUCGGUGUAGGAUGAGCUCGCGGCCUAUCAGCUUGUUGGUGGGGUAAUGGCCUACCUAGGCGGCGACGGGUAGCCGGCCUGAGAGGGUGUACGGCCACAUUGGGACUGAGAUACGGCCCAGACUCCUACGGGAGGCAGCAGUGGGGAAUAUUGCACAAUGGGCGCAAGCCUGAUGCAGCGACGCCGCGUGGGGGAUGAAGGCCUUCGGGUUGUAAACUCCUUUCGCUAGGGACGAAGCUUUGUUGUGACGGUACCUAGAUAAGAAGCACCGGCUAACUACGUG